AGUGAACGCUGGCGGUAGGCCUAACACAUGCAAGUCGAACGGCAGCACAGUAAGAGCUUGCUCUUACGGGUGGCGAGUGGCGGACGGGUGAGGAAUACAUCGGCAUCUACUUUUUCGUGGGGGAUAACGUAGGGAAACUUACGCUAAUACCGCAUACGACCUACGGGUGAAAGCAGGGGAUCUUCGGACCUUGCGCGACUGAAUGAGACGGUUUCGGAUUAGCUAGUUGGCGGGGUAAAGGCCCACCAAGGCGACGAUCCGUAGCCGGUCUGAGAGGAUGGUCAGCCACACUGGAAGUGAGACACGGUCCAGACUCCUAGGGGGGGCAGCAGUGGGGAAUAUUGGACAAUGGGCGCAAGCCUGAGCCAGCCACACCGCGUGGGUGAAGAAGGCUUGCGGGUUGUAAAGCCCUUUUGUUGGGAAAGAAAAGCAGCAGGUUAAUACCCCGCUGUUCUGACGGUACCCAAAGAAUAAGCACCGGUGAACUCCUG
rnacentral:rRNA from 1 species